rnacentral:lncRNA from 1 species
GCGGGUCAAAAUCUAGUAAACAUUAAAACUAAAUCUUAAAAUCUCUAAAUACUAAACACUAAACCUUAAACCCUUGGGUAAAUUUUAAACUCUAGUGUUAACAAUAUUUUUGUAAAAAGUUUUAGGGAAAAUUGUUUUUUUAGAGCAAAAAAAUGGUAACUAUGUCCCUUUAUACUAAUCUAUAUUACUUUAUGUUCCAUUAGACUAAUUUUUUUCAAAAUGGCAGUAAUGCCCUUAAAAUUAUAAUUUUUAUUCCUUUUUCGUUUUUUUUUGUUCCUUUUUCGUUUUUUUAUUUUUUUUAAAAAAUUCAAUUUUUUUUUUCAAAAUAUAAAAGUGAAUAUUCCCAAAUAUUUUGUUUCCAUAUUUUUAGGAACUGAUUUUUUAUCCGUAGAAUACAACUAAUAUGUAGAAAUCGGUUUCUACAGUUUUUUAGAAUUAUAGUAAUGUUUAGAUUUUGAUUUCUACAUGUUUUAGAUUUAUAGUAAAUCUGUAGAAGUCGGUUUCUACGUGUUUUUGAUUUAUAUUAAUGUGUAGAUUUUGAUUUCUAAAGAUUUUAGAACGAUAGGUUAAGCGCAGAAUGUGUAUUCUAAAUUUUUUUAGAAUACUCCUAUUUACG